UUUCCCCCACCCCUUUCCCACCCAUUUGAAAUGCAGGUUGCCUCAAAGCAGCAUGAAAUCCCUGGGAACUUCUUGUGCCCUUUCAACAAAUCAGCUCGAUGAAGGGAGAUGACUCAGUCUCCUUUGCCCCUGAAAGUCAGAGCCAACUCUGGCUACCAGCACUCUUGGCUUCACAAAAGAACAAUUUACCCUGGUUCCCUCCCAGACUCCAGUCAGUCUCCCUGCAGCUUCAAGUGGCAUCAAAGAGGCAUUUCAUUUAUGUGACCUUCCUCAGGAGCUCAGCGAGGAGCCGCAAUAUGUAACAGGCAUCCGACUCUACUGGAGUUGCAUGUUUGACUUGCUAGGCUGAAAGCAUCUUGAAGGUCUUCAGCAAAAGGAGAGAACAGCUGGUCUCAAUCUUUUUUCUGUCAGUUUUUCACAUACUGGGGGACUUAAAAGGAUUUGUCCUACUUCAUUAGCAAAGUGCCUCAGGAAAAGUACACAGGAUAACGGAGAAAAUUUCUUCUGUGCAUGACUGAAGAAAACUCACCAAAAAAAGGCAAAUAAGUCCCUCUGACUCUUCCUGUGUUGUUCAUGUUUUGUAAAAUGUGUUAAACACUUGUGAUACACAUUUUGUUGAGUACUUGUGACCCUUAUGAUCCUGAAUUGCUAACCUUUAGAUUAAAAAAUAAAGUUUUUAGGGUUUUGGCCCCUAUGGAUUAGCUUGGUCAUGUCAGCCCUCCCACUGGCAACAAUAAUUAAACCUAAACAAAAUUAAAAGCUAGCAAACAACUAUUUGAAGGCAUUGCAGUGACCAAAACCAAGCAGAAACUAGAGAAGACUGCUUUUGAAAGAUGAACUGCAGUAGGUGAAACUUAUCAUUUUGUGGCCAUUUGCUUCAAAAAAUAUGUAAAAUACAGCAGAAAGACACAAAACUACAUUCUUAAGGUGUCAGAGAAUGUAGUUUUAGGUUGUCAGAGGAGUCAGGAUGUUUGGGGGGGGAAAUAUUGAAAGCGAAAGAACUAAAGAGGUGAUCCCUAAAGCAAGUGUCCGAAAUUUACCCAGACUUUUCGCUAACCAGUAAACUAUGUAUUUGCAGGGAAGAUCCUAGAAGGCCAGAAUAAAAGCAGUAGGUGGAGGAUAAAAUGACUGCAUAGAGAGUCAGCUAAUACCAAUACAGAAGAGACAGAGCUUGACUAUCAAAUUAACUGCCUACUAGAAUAUUAAAAAAAAA